AACGAACGCUGGCGGCAUGCCUAACACAUGCAAGUCGAACGAGACCUUCGGGUCUAGUGGCGCACGGGUGCGUAACGCGUGGGAACCUGCCCUUAGGUUCGGAAUAACUCCCCGAAAGGGGUGCUAAUACCGGAUAAUGUCUUCGGACCAAAGAUUUAUCGCCUUUGGAUGGGCCCGCGUUGGAUUAGCUAGUUGGUAGGGUAAAAGCCUACCAAGGCGACGAUCCAUAGCUGGUCUGAGAGGAUGAUCAGCCACACUGGGACUGAGACACGGCCCAGACUCCUACGGGAGGCAGCAGUGGGGAAUAUUGGACAAUGGGCGAAAGCCUGAUCCAGCAAUGCCGCGUGAGCGAUGAAGGCAUUAGGGUUGUAAAGCUCUUUUACCCGGGAUGAUAAUGACAGUACCGGGAGAAUAAGCUCCGGCUAACUCCGUG
rnacentral:rRNA from 1 species